rnacentral:rRNA from 1 species
GGGAUCAGUGGCGAACGGGUGAGUAACACGUGGGCAACCUGCCCUCAGCUCUGGGAUAACUCCAAGAAAUUGGGGCUAAUACUGGAUAUGACCGCUGACCGCAUGGUCUGGUGGUGGAAAGAUUUAUCGGCUGGGGAUGGGCCCGCGGCCUAUCAGCUUGUUGGUGGGGUAGUGGCCUACCAAGGCGACGACGGGUAGCCGGCCUGAGAGGGUGACCGGCCACACUGGGACUGAGACACGGCCCAGACUCC